rnacentral:rRNA from 1 species
AGUCGAGCGGAGAUGAGGUGCUUGCACCUUAUCUUAGCGGCGGACGGGUGAGUAAUGCUUAGGAAUCUGCCUAUUAGUGGGGGACAACAUUCCGAAAGGGAUGCUAAUACCGCAUACGUCCUACGGGAGAAAGCAGGGGAUCUUCGGACCUUGCGCUAAUAGAUGAGCCUAAGUCGGAUUAGCUAGUUGGUGGGGUAAAGGCCUACCAAGGCGACGAUCUGUAGCGGGUCUGAGAGGAUGAUCCGCCACACUGGGACUGAGACACGGCCCAGACUCCUACGGGAGGCAGCAGUGGGGAAUAUUAGACAAUGGGGGGAACCCUGAUCCAGCCAUGCCGCGUGUGAAGAAGGCCUUAUGGUUGUAAAGCACUUUAAGCGAGGAGGAGGCUACUGAGACUAAUACUCUUGGAUAGUGGACGUUACUCGCAGAAUAAGCACCGGCUAACUCUGUGCCAGCAGCCGCGGUAAUACAGAGGGUGCGAGCGUUAAUCGGAUUUACUGGGCGUAAAGCGUGCGUAGGCGGCUUUUUAAGUCGGAUGUGAAAUCCCCGAGCUUAACUUGGGAAUUGCAUUCGAUACUGGGAAGCUAGAGUAUGGGAGAGGAUGGUAGAAUUCCAGGUGUAGCGGUGAAAAANUNAGGAGAUCUGGAGGAAUACCGAUGGCGAAGGCAGCCAUCUGGCCUA